UGUUACUCCACCUCACGCGCCCUCGCCGAGAAGGUCACGCCGACUUCCUCCCAGGCGAGCUCGCCGGGCCGUAGCAGUAGGACGGCCGCCAGGUCGAGGUGCGGGUUCGUGUGGAGCGUUGGGACCACGACAGCGCCGUUGCGGGAGACGACGCCGCCGCUCGCGCUCCGCGACUCGGAGGAUACGUGACGAGGCGGCGGAGGCAGGGAGGUGGCGUCUCCGUUGAGCGGGUUGAUGAGCUCGGCCUCUUGGAAGCCGUCGGAGCCGCUGACGGCAAGGAGGCGGCCGCCGGAGGCGUCGGAUCUCUCCACCAUCUUGCCGCGGAGCGACGGGAGGGGCAGGAGGAACCGGAUUUUCCUCGCCGACAAGGGCGAGUGGAGGCCCAGGCCGGGGCAGUCGAACGCGCCGGACGGCUCCACCUCCACGAGGCACGGGAGGAAGCUGCUAGGCGCGCGGGGCGGCGGCGGAGCCCGGCGCCACGGCCUGCACACGGCGAAGAAGCGGACCAGGUCGCUGGCGUCGCGCAGGUGGCCAGCGAUCUCGCUGAGCGUGUCGGCGGGGAGCUCGGCCCACGGGCACCGAGGCGCCGCCCGCGGCGAGAUCCAUCUCUGUUCGCAGUUUGGCAUCGGAUGGGUUGGAGACGAUGAAGACGCUACGGAUGGAGCUCUUGAAAAUUGAAAUCGCGCCGAAUUCUGAUCGAUCCCGUCCGGACUCCGGAGGCGCACCGGCCGCCUCGAUCGAUUCAAGAAAUGAAGAACACGAGCAGCGGCGUUUCCCAUCAAGACGAACAAGAGCUCGUUACCGAAUAGAACCUGGAGACCCCAAUCCCUCCCGUCGGGCCGCCUCACAAAAGACGUCGACGCUGAUCGGGCCUCCCCUCCUGUUCGACCGCGACACCGCCCCCCGUCCUGCCCGCGCUCCCCGUGAGAGCGCCCUUGCGCCGCCGCGAAGCCGGUCGUUCUCUCGCGCCGCGGCGUCGUCUAUGACGUUGGGGGCGGGCUCCGAUGAUGCUCCCUUGGAUCUCGGAAGCAACGGCGCCACUGGGGAGAAGGCGAGUUCAGAUGAUCCCGUAGAUCUCGAGAAAGGCGCCACCGGGUCGAAGGCGGCGGCGGCCGAGGAGGAGGAGCUGGACCGGCGUGCGAUGUGGGCCUGAAGAUGUGUUUCAAGGUUUCGGUGGAUGUGUUCGUCGUGCUGUACGUCCAUAAUCAUUUUCGUGAUCGCGUUGCUGGUCAAGCUUUAUGACAACUGGUGGGAUCUAUGGCCGGUUUAUGUUAUCCUGACGAUAAAUUUGGUAUGUGCUAUCUGGAUGGCGCCCAAGAUGAAGUAUGACACCAAGCCUGCACGAGGAAGCGGCGGCGGCGAUCUGAAAACAACACUAUUACCAUCUAAGUAAGCCUAAGUGAAGUGAAUAAGGGGGGCACCAUUUAGUUAA